rnacentral:rRNA from 1 species
AUUGAACGCUGGCGGCAGGCCUAACACAUGCAAGUCGAACGAGUGGCGGACGGGUGAGUAAUGUCUGGGAAACUGCCUGAUGGAGGGGGAUAACUACUGGAAACGGUAGCUAAUACCGCAUACCAUCAGAUGCGCCCAGAUGGGAUUAGCUAGUUUGUGGGGUAACGGCUCACCAAGGCGACGAUCCCUAGCUGGUCUGAGAGGAUGACCAGCCACACUGGAACUGAGACACGGUCCAGACUCCUACGGGAGGCAGCAGUGGGGAAUAUUGCACAAUGGGCGCAAGCCUGAUGCAGCCAUGCCGCGUGUGUGAAGAAGGCCUUCGGGUUGUAAAGCACUUUCAGCGGGGAGGCGUUACUCGCAGAAGAAGCACCGGCUAACUCCGUGCCAGCAGCCGCGGUAAUUC